GUACCUCGGCGACAUGAACGGCUGUGGAAAGAAAAAAAUAAAAUCAGAUAAAAAAAUCGCGACAGUUGAUGCUUUCUUAAACUAAUGGAAGCGAAUUUAUUGACGCAACUGAGUGUUAAUUCGUGCAUUGAACACGCCUUGAUGAGAUCCUACCGACCGCUGAGUCUCACAGUCCAUCUCGCUAACUGACAGAGUGCAGGCGCUAGCAAUUAGAGUGAAUUUACGCACGACGUGGCUGGAAAAUUGGAAGAGCUGACCUGCAUCUCUACUGUAAAUCGAAGUAUCCGUAAAUAUCGAAACGAGCUCAGGUCAGUCUUCGAGUGAAAUCAUAUUAUUAUAAUGUGCAGGUGCAAAACUUGAGUCAGAUCUGAUGAGAAAGCAGAAACUAAGACCAGAUAACGCCACUCGACACGCAUCAUUAAGCUCCCAUCGGAUGCCACAUCACUGCGAUGUUUUUCCUUUUACUUUACAACUAAAUAGUUUUAUUACUAAAUCUUCGUAUUCUCAUCUCCCCGAAUACAUCGCACUUUUUUUUAUUUCUGUUUUAAAGAUAGGUAUCGUAUAUUUGUGGAUACGGGUAAGAGGUUAUUCUACACUCCGAUUUUCGAAACAUAGACUUAGAGUGGUACACACCAUUAAGUCGGGCGAGGUGCCUUAAUGUCUAUUUAUUACCCACCCACUUGACGAUCCCAAUACCAGGAUCUGAGGAAAGAUGAGCUAUUUCACCUGCCACUUGAUCACAUAAUAAACAGCCUCACAAACAGUGUCAGGCGGUACCAUCAGUCAACAGAUACUUAUCUGCCACCACAUGGCCCGCCUACAGGUUAUGCAGUACGGGUAAGUCCUCAGCCACGACAAAGCUUUUGUCGGUGGAGAGAUUACUUGAAAGCUUUCUUUGUGGACUGCAGCUGUGCCUUACCAGUAGAUAUGUGGAUGAGAAGCGGACAUUCUAUCUACGGCGUAACUUUAUCCGAGAGAGAGGAAAUGAACAGACCGACUUCAUUUCCUGUUCAUUCAAUCACACAAUUUACAAAUGAUCUCCGCCGUUCGAUGACCCACCGAUGGAGCCAACUUAAGUUUGUGUGGUGGUCGUUUCCGAUGACAAUUCUUUUGGAAAUCCCCAAACUCGAGUAUCAACAACAAUUAAAAGGAGAGAACAAUCGCACGUGAGCACAUCACGUGGGAUAUUACCCGACAUGCACAGCGCCCAUCAUCACAACUAACACAAGACGUCGGUUAGGAAGAGGAGGAACUGCCGUCGGCGGAUGUUGUACCAUCAGAUUGAAAACUAAUUGCUAUAACAAUCUACUGAAAGUUUUAAUUGAAUAAUUAUUUAACUGCAUCUGAAUAUGAUGAGUGCUAUUAUACUGAUGAUGAACAUAUGUCCAAAAGUGCUUUGUUAUAUUUUAUUUAAUUAUUAGUCUACAUGAACAGAAAUGAUUCUUUGAAGCAAUUUACACUGUUUGUAUGCCCAGGACCCUAAUCUUUCAAAUAAAAUUUCUUCAGUUAAACUAAUGUGAAACUAUAAAGAUCUAUAAAUGUAAACAACUUCUAUUGUUUAAAUUAAUACUAAAGGAAUGGAAAGAAGCCAGCAGGUGGCAUGGGGCCUCCAGGCAUGCCUUCACUGGGUGGCAUCUGUCCCAGAGGACUCGGUGCUGUGGGAUUCUGUACGGGGAAGAAAAAAAAAAUAUCGAGAGAGUUAAAAAUCGACUAGUCCUUCUAAAAUCAAGAUAUAAUAAAUAGUUAAAAUAAUUAAAAAAAAAAAAAAAUAUAUCGAGAGAGUU
rnacentral:lncRNA from 1 species